rnacentral:rRNA from 1 species
GAUGAACGCUGGCGGCGUGCCUAAUACAUGCAAGUCGAGCGAACAGACGAGGAGCUUGCUCCUCUGACGUUAGCGGCGGACGGGUGAGUAACACGUGGAUAACCUACCUAUAAGACUGGGAGAACUUCGGGAAACCGGAUCUAAUACCGCAUAAUAUAUUAAACCGCAUUGUUCAGUAGUGAAACACGGUUUUGCUGUCUCUUAUAGAUGGCUCCGGGUCGCAUUAGCUAGUGGGUAAGGUAACGGCUUACCAAGGCAACGAUGCGUAGCCGACCUGAGAGGGUGAUCGGCCACACUGGAACUGAGACACGGUCCAGACUCCUACGGGAGGCAGCAGUGGGGAAUCUUGGGCAAUGGGCGAAAGCCUGACGGAGCAAGGCCGCGUGGGUGAUGAAGGUCUUCGGAUCGUAAAACUCUGUUAUUAGGGAAGAACAAAUGUGUAAGUAAAUAUGCACGUCUUGACGGUACCUAAUCAGAAAGCCACGGCUAACUACGUG